GAUGAACGCUGGCGGCGUGCCUAAUACAUGCAAGUCGAGCGAACAGACGAGGAGCUUGCUCCUUCGACGUUAGCGGCGGACGGGUGAGUAACACGUAGGUAACCUACCUAUAAGACUGGGAUAACUUCGGGAAACCGGAGCUAAUACCGGAUAAUAUUUCGAACCGCAUGGUUCGAUAGUGAAAGAUGGCUUUGCUAUCACUUAUAGAUGGACCUGCGCCGUAUUAGCUAGUUGGUAAGGUAACGGCUUACUAAGGCAACGAUACGUAGCCGACCUGAGAGGGUGAUCGGCCACACUGGAACUGAGACACGGUCCAGACUCCUACGGGAGGCAGCAGUAGGGAAUCUUCCGCAAUGGGCGAAAGCCUGACGGAGCAACGCCGCGUGAGUGAUGAAGGUCUUCGGAUCGUAAAACUCUGUUAUUAGGGAAGAACAAACGUGUAAGUAACUGUGCACGUCUUGACGGUACCUAAUCAGAAAGCCACGGCUAACUACGUG
rnacentral:rRNA from 1 species